UAGCUAUGUUGACACUUUCUGACUAUCUCCUUAAACCUCUCCCAAGCUUCAAAAACCGUUUUAGUAUCUUUCUGGCAGAAGUUAUGGAUCUCUCUUCUAAACUU
ncrna:Nicotiana tabacum cultivar TN90 Ntab-TN90_scaffold1390, whole genome shotgun sequence